ACGGGAGGCAGCAGUGGGGAAUAUUGCACAAUGGGGGAAACCCUGAUGCAGCGACGCCGCGUGAGUGAAGAAGUUAUUCGUAAUGUAAAGCUCUAUCAGCAGGGAAGAAAAUGACGGUACCUGACUAAGAAGCCCCGGCUAACUACGUGCCAGCAGCCGCGGUAAUACGUAGGGGGCAAGCGUUAUCCGGAUUUACUGGGUGUAAAGGGAGUGUAGGUGGUUUGGUAAGUCAGAUGUGAAAGCCCGCGGCUCAACUGCGGGACUGCAUUUGAGACUAUCAAACUAGAGUGCAGGAGAGGAAAGUGGAAUUCCUAGUGUAGCGGUGAAAUGCGUAGAUAUUAGGAAGAACACCAGUGGCGAAGGCGGCUUUCUGGACUGUAACUGACACUGAGGCUCGAAAGCGUGGGGAGCAAACAGGAUUAGAUACCCU
rnacentral:rRNA from 1 species